UUUUUUUUUUUUUUUUUUUUUUUGGGAGGGGAGGGUCAUGGGGAGAGAAGAUACCAUAUGUGUUCCUGGAGUUUUUUUGCUUUUUGCAUUGUGUAGGCCUGAUUCUUGCCACAAAUAGUGUAGGUUUAGAAACAGACAAGCCAAGUCUGUUUUAGCAUUAGUAAGGGAUAUUUCUGGUUUAAAGUCAUGGGUUUUACUAGCACCUCUUAAGCUUUUAUAUAUCUAUAUAUAUUAAAAAUAUAAAUAGUUUUUGCAAUUGAUGUCAGAUGUACUUCCAUGACAUGAUCAGUUGCCGACAGUUUUAGGCUUCCAUCUAUUGUAAUGAUGUUCAGUGUUAAAAAAAAUGUCACUCGUUUACACUAUUACAGCUGAUAAUUUUGUUACAAUUGCUGGAGUUUUAAGUAAGGCCCUGAAGAACCAGAAAGUACCUUUUACUGUUGAUACAAAUUGUAUCUUUUUAACUGAGAACUAUUUUGAUUUGUAGAUUAGAAACACAAAUGUAAAAUUAUAACUAGUCUUUUGGGCAACAUUUUAUCCCUUAUUUAAAAAUUAGAGAUUUCAGACAUAGAAUAGAUUUAGGCAAGUAAAAGUAGGUAUUUAUUUAGGUGUCUCUCUCAAUUUCACAUACUAAAACGAAAAAAUAGACUAUUGGCAUCUUCUUACUUCUAAAAUCUUUGUAGUGGGAACUCACUAAAAUAAAGGUAAAAUGCUGCCUGAAAAUUAUGUCCAAGCACCUUUGAAUACGAAGACGUUUUCACUACUUGUGUGACACCAUGUGUUGCAGCAAGUAGGGUUUGGGUAUACAGUAAAUGCUUCUAAAGAGCAUUGUGCUAUAGACUUAUCCAAUAAUCUGAACCAUGUUCAGCAAACCAAUUCAGGACGUGGUGCUCCUGCAGCUUCCACUGCCAGAGCGCUGCAGGUUCUGCCAUUGCCUGUUCCCGUGGCAUGGCCAGAGGGGCUCUACACACAUCUGUCCUGCAUUGUCUGUUUAGGGAGAAGACCUCUUCAUCUGUGGCAACAGUUUUUCCCUGGAUUUGGUUGGUCGCCAUCCGUAGAGCAUAUUUGAAUGUAGAGAUUGGUGCAGUGCUGACACUGAGGUUUGGACUGGGAAAUGGGUCUCAUCUUAGUUGUACGCUAAGAUUUGGUUAAACUGAAUUACACUGAAGUACUACACCAUAGUGUAGAUGCAGCUGUUUUAAUAAUGCAAUUAUUGUGUUUGUGGUUUUAAUAGGUUUCUACAUUUAUUUUUAUGUAGGUAUUUACUUCUGCCAAAAGUUGAAUUCCUUUAAGCAUGAACUGAAAUGUGUAUAUUCCUUUAAGCAUGAACUGAAAUGUGGUUUUUCCUGUGAUGUGGGCACCAGGAUGCUCCUGCCAUGCACAUGUAACAGUCUGGCCUAGAGCAGGGGCUCAGCAACUGAGAUACCAGUGUGAGGUGCUGCACUGCCCAGGCCUGAGUUAUCUGUGUCCAUUGCCUCCACAUACAGCCAGGGCAGUACUGAAAUCCCAAAGGGUGGUGAUCGCUAGGGUGUUCUUGUGAUAGGUUCUGUGCUAUGCACCCAAGCACUGAAAAUGCUUUAAAAAUACAAGAGCAGGAGUAAUUUGGUGGAUAUUAAUGUUGUGCAAUGAUGUGCUAGUUCCCCUUAGACUCACUUAUGUUCGGUAAAGGAAAUUUAUUGUGGACAAAAUGUUUGCCUUGAUACUUACUUUUGUUUUGCUGUGGUAACAGAUGGAGGAAUUGUGUGUGAACAUCUCCAUGAUGAGAUCAGUCUGUAUAUUUAACAGCUCCUAAAGAGUACACCAGUAACAAACAUGGAUGCAGUGGUACUACCUUUAUCUAUGUAAUUGCAUUGAUGCAAAUAACUGAGCUGUAACCUGCCAUGAUCCUUAAAUAGCAGAGGUACUUCAGUGAUGCUGUCUUGGCCCCAGCUGAGUGCCAGAGAUGCAAUGAAGGAUUUAGUACCUUAAAAUUUGAGCUGUCCCUCAACUAAGAAGAGGGCAAAACUUCCCUUUGUCUUCAGUACUUGAGAGUUGUUUGAUACCUAGCAGAAACUCUGUAACUUUUAGAUAAAAUCCCAAGCUGUUAUAACUGCAUCAGUAAUAUAUUAAUCACUUCGUUGUUUUUUAUUUUUUCAAAUAUGUGGGUUUCAUAUAUAUAUAUGUGUGUAUGUAUAUAUAUAUAUGUGUGUAUAUGUAUAUAUUUGUAUAUAUAUACACAUAUAUUUGGUAAGUGGGUUUAAGAUACUGCUAAUGGUCUGAGGUAAGAUCAUACCUUCCCAGGUGUCCCAUUUUCUUUGGUAGUCUGAAUUGUAGCUUGGUCCUCCACUGCAGAGUAGCUCUGGGAGAGCCCAAAGCCUGAUGUGUUGGUGUGAUGCCCUGAAAAGAGAAGGCGUGCCAGGCUGGGGAAAAACCUCAAGGAGACUCCUGCAGUCUCAGCGGGUGCAGACUGUAGCUGAGAUGGUGAUGAACUUCUGCUGUGAAAGUUGUAGCUGACGGUGAACACCUUCCCAAAAAUAUCAAAGCUGCCAGAGUACCUCACGUGGAAGGGAACACUGGGGGCGUUUGCCCAGCAGGGUGAGCACCGGAGGACUGAAUGCCUUGGGUGAGAGAUGCUGCACCAUCUUGCCACAGUAAGAGACUACCAAAACAUUCACCAGUUUUAUCAGUUGAUGGUUCAACCAAGGUAUUUUCAAUGUGUAAAGUUUGAAAAAAUGAGACAUAAUGCUUUCCUGCUCUGUGGAGCAUUUAGAAAAAUACCCAACUGACUUUCCAUUGCUACUGAAAAUUUAAAACACUGUGCAAUUAAAAAGACCAUUAAAAAAAAUAGAAAUUAUUUAUUUUUAUUUACAGUGUGACUUGCUAAUUUAUUCCUUGCAUUGUAAGGCCAUGGUGGACUGCUGUUUGUUUGAAGUUUUUUUAUCAUAGGAACUAAAACUGCUGAGAAGAAAAACCAGUAGACUUAAAAUUCUACGGCCUUGUUUUCUGUAAAAGGGCUGAGGUUUUAUAAAUGUCAAAUCACAUAUUUUAUAUAUUUUGUAAAUUUUAGAGAGGCAUUGUUUAAGAAUUUUGUGCAAAUUAAAUAUGUUUGGGCACAUUGUUUAGACUAAUCAUAGACUAAACCUAGAAUCACCUGUAUUAAAUGUUUUUUCCAGCUAACCUUUGCUCAGUAACACGAGAGAUGUUCAAAUUUCACCUUUAGAUGUUCUAGAAUAUAUUUCUCAAGGUUUCAUGAGAAGCUGCUGGCCUAGGCACCCAGUCACACGGAAAUGCACAUUUGCAAGGGAAGCAACACUGCAGAGUGCUGGGUUUUCCUUGCCAUGCAGCCCAGGGAAUGUGCUGGUGCACAUCAGGUCUCUCACAGAUGUUUGUAGAGGCACUACCAAAUACCAUGUGUGGUUCAUAGUUAUCAGUGUGCUUGAAAAAUUUUCCAUCUUCCGGUCUUAAAAGGGUUGUCAUAACUUGGUCUUGGAGUGUUUAUUACUCUGUCUACCCUUUAAGCUAAAUGACUGCAAUAGUUUCUCAUUCCCUCUCACACUCAAUAGCUGUGGGAGGGCAUCAACACUUACACCUGACUUCAGCAGAGGCAGAGGUGUGGGCUGGUUUAGUGGUGUGAGGGAAUACCUGGGGUCAGACUGGCGUGUGUGUAAGUGUAGCUGGGCUGGGACCUUGAGGAACACAGCUGGAGAGCCACCUCCUCCCAAGCAUAGGGGAGAUCUCACUGGUGCUGACAGGUCAUUUGGCCAGGAUUGCCCUUUGCAGGCUUUGGGAACACCUACAAACCAAAUUUACUUAGAUGUUUAAGCACAUCCAUCCUCUCUUUUUCAAAGUAUAACAAUCUACUCUUUGCCUUAUAAAACAAAACCUCUCUGCUUUUUUUUUUUUUUUUUUUUUGUAGAACAACCCAUUUUCUUUUGGUGUCAGAUAAAUUAACCAUGUGAGAUUGGCUGGUUCGUUACUUUUUAUUUAUCUAAAUGACAUUCUUAAUGAAACUGAAAUUCAAGAACUGCUUUCCCAGCAUACAAUAGAGUAUCCUGCAAGGAAGCAAUGCAGAUACAACAGCAAUAAUUGUAUUUUGUAGCUCUUUUCCCAGUUGUUAUCUCUGUAUUUUGUGUUGAGUACGUGAGAUUUUAAUAUUGUCCUGAAGUCCACUGUGGCAAAGCCAUUAGCUAAAAAUAAUGUUUGGGCUACUUGAUAAAGCAAUUGUCAAAUUAGCUCUUCAUUCCUUCAUUGGUUGUUGUGUAUUGUUUCUGUGAUGUGACUAUUCACAUCUUAAAACCACCACUAAACCAUAUAAAAAAAAACAUGUACAUGGAUACUGCUUUUAGAGAAAAAAAAUAAAGAUUCAUUU
rnacentral:lncRNA from 1 species